rnacentral:lncRNA from 1 species
AAUUCCCUCCAUGCCCCAGAUGAGGAGGCUGCCCCUGGGACACCAGAGGAUGGCACUUGCCAUAGGACAACACAACAGAUCAGCAUCACUGAACGUGGCUGCAGCUCCAAGCUGCUUAAAAGCCGUCCUCAAUGCCUCUGGAUUCAAGGACAACAGGAAUGGUACUGUUUGCAGACAGAACAGAGUGAAUGACCAAGGGCGACACAGAAAGGUACAAUACAUAUAUGCCUGUAUGCAAUCAUGAUUCAAUAUGACAGCAUGCCCAUUAAAAUUAUUUGGAUUGCAUGUGAUGAGG